UACGUAGGGUCCGAGCGUUGUCCGGAAUUAUUGGGCGUAAAGAGCUCGUAGGCGGUUUGUUGCGUCGGCUGUGAAAUCCCGAGGCUCAACCUCGGGUCUGCAGUCGAUACGAGUAAACUAGAGUGUUGCAGGGGAGACUGGAAUUCCUGGUGUAGCGGUGAAAUGCGCAGAUAUCAGGAGGAACACCGGUGGCGAAGGCGGGUCUCUGGGCAACAACUGACGCUGAGGAGCGAAAGCGUGGGGAGCGAACAGG
rnacentral:rRNA from 1 species